rnacentral:lncRNA from 1 species
ACUACUCGUCUAUAAAAGGAGGUAAAUGAAUAGCAUUGGGUAAGGUAACUCGGGGCUGAUACUCCGUCACUUUCAAAAUUCUAUCUGCUGUUCACCACUCCCCACUGACUUAAGCAUUGGAGGAUCCUCACUGGACACAACUUCGAUUAGUUUGAACUUUUUUUGUAGGUACUCUUCUCCAGUGACAGGCGUAACAGGAGAUUGACCGCAAC